CGAUUAGUAGACAUCUUACCAGCCAGCCAUCCUACUCAGUAGGCCUCAGAUCAUACCCCGCCAUCUCGACAAUAAUGAUCGGACAGAAGAACAAACGUAAUAGUUUUAGGCGUAGCAGCCAUCGUGCCAUCGUGCCAUGCAGGCCAUGAUGACCUACCCUGAGGUGAUCGUUGGGAGUGUGGAGAUGACCUCUGUCAGUAGGAGAGACAUCUCAUCUUCGAUCAGCAACAACACCCACAACCGAUACUUGCUGGAGAAACAACAGAAGAUAG